GACGAAGGUGGCGAGCGUUGUUCGGAAUCACUGGGCAUAAAGCGCACGUAGGCGGCGACGUAAGUUGGGUGUGAAAUCCCUCGGCCCAACCGAGGAACUGCGCCCAGUACUGCGUUGCUUGAGGAUCCAAGGGGUGCAUGGAAUUCCCGGUGGAGCGGUGAAAUGCGUUGAUAUCGGGAGGAACUCCGGCGGCGAAGGCGGCUCUCUGGGACGGUACUGACGCUGAGACGCGAAAGCGUGGGGAGCGAACAGG
rnacentral:rRNA from 1 species